UACGGAGGGUGCAAGCGUUGCUCGGAAUUAUUGGGCGUAAAGGGCAGGUAGGUGGUCUCAUUUGUCUGGGGUGAAAUCCUUGGGCUUAACCCAAGAAGUGCCCCGGAAACGGUGAGACUAGAGUUUUGGAGAGGGUCGUGGAAUUCCCGGUGUAGCGGUGAAAUGCGUAGAGAUCGGGAGGAACACCAGAGGCGAAAGCGGCGACCUGGACAAUGACUGACACUCAACUGCGAAAGCGUGGGGAGCAAGCAGG
rnacentral:rRNA from 1 species